ACUCAGUCCAUGUCUAACUUCUUGGGCCCAUGUCUGUCCUUGCUCAGCCCUCAACCUCAGAAAUGCCCAGAAGAGACAUCUUCUCUAAGAAACAAUAGAAGAUGGGUCCUAACAGGAUAUGAAACUAGCAGGUCACGAAAACCGCACCUUCCCAGUGUGAUUAUCAUCUUAGGUUCUCUUCCAGGCCAUCUGUGCCAGCCCCCACCCCUCACUGUGUCUCCAUCAAAUGCAGGGACUCAGUGGUUGCAGAUGACCUCUAUCCCAGGUGGGAAAGUCAAUUUCUGGAACAUGAGCCCAAUCUCACAGCACUCCGAUAAGAAUGAUGAGUGCCAGAAGCCACAAAGCUUGGACGCGAACCAGGUGUCUUCCAUCCUGGAAUCCUUUCUCCAGGCUGAUGUCAGGCACCUCAGUGGUGAGAAGUGGACCGCUUCCCCUUCCCCAGCUCCCUCUCGCCUUAAGCCUGGCUGGUAAGUGUGACAUUCUACUAGACUAGAGCCACGCCAA